rnacentral:rRNA from 1 species
AUUGAACGCUGGCGGCAGGCCUAACACAUGCAAGUCGAACGAGUGGCGGACGGGUGAGUAAUGUAUGGGGACUGCACGAUAGAGGGGGAUAACUACUGGAAACGGUAGCUAAUACCGCAUACUAUCGGAUAACCCAUAUGGGAUUCGCUAGUAGGUGAGGUAAUGGCCCACCUAGGCGACGAUCCCUAGCUGGUCUGAGAGGAUGAUCGGCCACACUGGGACUUAGAGACGGCCCAGACUCCUACGGAGGCAGCAGGGGGGAAUUUUGCACAAUGGGCGCAAGCCUGAUGCAGCCAUGCCGCGUGUAUGAAGAAGGCCUUCGGGUUGUAAAGCACUUUCAGCGAGGAGGCGUUACUCGCAGAAGAAGCACCGGCUAACUCCGUGCCAGCAGCCGCGGUAAUUC